rnacentral:rRNA from 1 species
UACGUAGGGGAUAAGUAAAUAUUUUUGGUUUAAUAGUUAGAUUUAGUGAUUUUUUAUAGUUAAUAUUUUUAGGUGAAAUUUUAAUUUUGAUUAUAAUUGAUAUAAUUGAAGCUAUGAAAUUUAUUUUAAAGACAAGGAUUAGAUACCCUUUUAUUUUAGAUGUUAAUAUUAACCAGGGUAGUAAUAGUUAUGUUCUUGAAACCCAAAGAAUUUGGCGGUAUUUUAUUCUUUUUAGAGGAACCUGUCCUGUAAUCGAUAAUCCACGAGGAUCAUUUACUUAUUUUUGUUUUUCAGUUUGUAUACCUCCGUCAUAAGAGUAUCUUUUUAGAGUGAAUAUUCUAUUACUAUAAAAUAUAAAAUGUCAGGUCAAGGUGCAACUUAUGAAUAAGAAGAGAUGGGUUACAAUAAAUUUAUUUAUAUGGAUUAUAAUUUUUAUUUUUAUAUGAAGGUGGAUUUAAAAGUAAAAUUAAUUUCUUAUUAAUUUGACUUUAGCUCUAAAAUAUGCACACAUCGCCCGUCGCUCUUAUUUUAAAAUAAG